rnacentral:tmRNA from 1 species
GACUGGAUUUGACAGCGGGCAGAACGGAUAUGUAAGCAUGCAGUGUGUUGGUCGUGGCCACUAUAAUCACAAUGACCGGAAAUUUAUAUGGCGAAAAUAACUACGCUCUCGCUGCGUAAUUGAAGUACAGUAGAUUACCUUUAUCCUGAUGCCAGGCGUCGGGACGAGACAUCACCCGGUAGCUGUUGUUCCGAAGCUUAUCGAAUCGUGUGGUGCAGCAAAUCGGAAAUAGUUGGGGACGGCCUCGCGUCCUUGAUGAAAUUUUUAGAGGAUAAGCGGUAGAAUGGCUUGCUCUUUUCUUUUCUAUCGCUGACAGUCAGAAAGAGAUAAGCAUGUAGAAAGCAUCUUCUUUCCCCGUUUGGACGAGGGUUCGAUUCCCUCCUGGUCCACC